CCCUACGGGGGGCAGCAGUGGGGAAUAUUGCACAAUGGGGGAAACCCUGAUGCAGCAACGCCGCGUGAGUGAAGAAGUAUUUCGGUAUGUAAAGCUCUAUCAGCAGGGAAGAGAAUGACGGUACCUGACUAAGAAGCCCCGGCUAACUACGUGCCAGCAGCCGCGGUAAUACGUAGGGGGCAAGCGUUAUCCGGAUUUACUGGGUGUAAAGGGAGCGUAGACGGUGCGCCAAGUCUGGAGUGAAAUGCCGCAGCUUAACUGCGGAGCUGCUUUGGAAACUGGCGAACUAGAGUGCGGGAGGGGUA
rnacentral:rRNA from 1 species